rnacentral:rRNA from 1 species
GGGAUGAGCUUGCGUCCGAUUAGCUAGUUGGCGGGCAACGGCCCACCAAGGCGACGAUCGGUAGCCGGCCUGAGAGGGCGAUCGGCCACAUUGGGACUGAGAUACGGCCCAGACUCUACGGGAGGCAGCAGUAGGGAAUAUUGCACAAUGGGGGAAACCCUGAUGCAGCAACGCCACGUGUGGGAAGAAGCAUUUCGGUGUGUAAACCACUGUCGUGAAGGAAUAAGGCUUAUUUUCGGAUAAGUUGAAUGUACUUUGAAAGGAAGCACCGGCAAACUUCGUGCCAGCAGCCGCGGUAAUACGAGGGGUGCAAGCGUUGUUCGGAAUCACUGGGCGUAAAGGGAGCGCAGGCGGAGAUGCAAGCGGACUGUACAAUCCCGGGGCCCAACCCNACCUGCAGUCCGGACUGCACCUCUUGGAUAGUUCAGGGGCAAGCGGAAUUCCUGGUGUAGCGGUGGAAUGCGUAGAGAUCAGGAAGAACACCGAUGGCGAAGGCAGCCUGCUGGGGACUUAUCGACGCUGAGGCUCGAAAGUGCGGGUAGCAAACAGGAUUAGAUACCCUGGUAGUCC